GUUUGCAGGCUGGGAGGGGGUUGUAGGGUGUGGAGUCAGGAGGUUGGCCAAGCUCGGUUACAAAAUCCAAUGGCCUUGUCAAUUGAGGCCAGAAUAAGAAACAAUAGAGAAUGUCUCAGAGUUAAGUAGGUGCCACAGGGGUUGAUCAUUUCUUCCUCUUUCUGCGAUCUUACAGCCAUUUCAUGUUUUCUAAUUCUGGAAGGCCCUCCAGAGGUGCACAUGCAGUUCACGGGGCUCGCCAUGCCAUCCACGGCGCGGUCAGACCUUACACAAUUAACAGGUCAGAAGACCUCCAUCCAGAGAGAGUCCUGCCCCAUAUGAAGAAAGAAGGAAUGCUGCAAGGAGACAGGCGCAGAAAAAUCUCUUAUAUAUCUUUUUUCUUUUCUUUUUUGUUUUUUCCCCUUUUUUACAAAACCUGUGGUUUGGAGCCGAGAAGAAUCUGGACAGACAGGCCCUGCUGGCUUCCAACUCUGUCUGUCAGCAUUAGACCAGGCCCCUUUGUCCAGUCGCAUUUCUACACAGCCGUCCAUACUUUGUUGAACCUAAGCCUAAAAAUGAAAGUUUCUCCUGUAUCUUUGGGUCUUCAUUGUAAAGACUCCUGUGUCUCAUAAAACCACAGUCAAAUAAAUGUGUGUAUUUGUGU